AAUCAACGCUGGCGGCGUGCCUAACACAUGCAAGUCGAACGCGAGAGGGGCUUCGGCCCCGAUUGAGUGGCGAACGGGUGAGUAACGCGUGGGUGACCUACCUUCGAGUGGGGGAUAACGUCCCGAAAGGGACGCUAAUACCGCAUAACAUCCUGCUUUUGAAUGGGUGGAGAUCAAAGCCGGGGAUCGCAAGACCUGGCGCUCGAUGAGGGGCCCGCGUCUGAUUAGCUAGNGGUGAGGUAACGGCCCACCAAGGCAACGAUCAGUAUCCGGCCUGAGAGGGCGGACGGACACACUGGGACUGAGACACGGCCCAGACUCCUACGGGAGGCAGCAGUGGGGAAUUGUUCGCAAUGGGCGCAAGCCUGACGACGCAACGCCGCGUGGAGGAUGAAGGUCUUCGGAUUGUAAACUCCUGUUGCCCGGGACGAAUGGCUCCGACCUAACACGUCGGAGUGUGAC
rnacentral:rRNA from 1 species